rnacentral:rRNA from 1 species
GACGAACGCUGGCGGCGUGCUUAACACAUGCAAGUCGAGCGGUAAGGCCCUUUCGGGGGUACACGAGCGGCGAACGGGUGAGUAACACGUGGGUGACCUGCCCUCAGCUCUGGGAUAAGCCUGGGAAACUGGGUCUAAUACUGGAUAUGACUCCACGGUGCAUGUCGUGGGGUGGAAAGCCUUGUGCGGCUGAGGAUGGGCCCGCGGCCUAUCAGCUUGUUGGUGGGGUGAUGGCCUACCAAGGCGACGACGGGUAGCCGGCCUGAGAGGGCGACCGGCCACACUGGGACUGAGACACGGCCCAGACUCCUACGGGAGGCAGCAGUGGGGAAUCUUGCGCAAUGGGCGAAAGCCUGACGCAGCGACGCCGCGUGAGGGA